UAGUGUUGUUUUCCUGCCGGUGAGUAAGGUUGCCAGAGCUCAACGAGGGUUGUUAAAAGGUCGGCAACGCGCAUGCAACACCUCUGGAGUUGCAGGAGUCCAUAAGCUACGGUGACUACUUACCAUCAGGCGGGCCGUAUGCUUGUUUGCCACCGAUGUGGUAUAA